UGCAGUCGACGCUUCUUUUUCCACCGGAGCUUGCUCCACCGGAAAAAGAGGAGUGGCGAACGGGUGAGUAACACGUGGGUAACCUGCCCAUCAGAAGGGGAUAACACUUGGAAACAGGUGCUAAUACCGUAUAACAAUCGAAACCGCAUGGUUUUGAUUUGAAAGGCGCUUUCGGGUGUCGCUGAUGGAUGGACCCGCGGUGCAUUAGCUAGUUGGUGAGGUAACGGCUCACCAAGGCGACGAUGCAUAGCCGACCUGAGAGGGUGAUCGGCCACAUUGGGACUGAGACACGGCCCAAACUCCUACGGGAGGCAGCAGUAGGGAAUCUUCGGCAAUGGACGAAAGUCUGACCGAGCAACGCCGCGUGAGUGAAGAAGGUUUUCGGAUCGUAAAACUCUGUUGUUAGAGAAGAACAAGGAUGAGAGUAACUGUUCAUCCCUUGACGGUAUCUAACCAGAAAGCCACGGCUAACUACGUGCCAGCAGC
rnacentral:rRNA from 1 species